CUUGAAAAUCCCCGCAAAUGCGGCAGUAUCUCAAUUACACAUGGACGCGAUGUCUUUAAUCAUAAAAUACUGUUCAUGCGGUGCCGGUUGCAUAUCAGCUUUUAACCCGCCAAACCUUGGGGCGAAAUAGACCCCGACGAGAUAAGCACAGCUCCCAGAAGUGCACUGCGGGUCAGGCGCCUGGCAGAUGCAUCCUGUUCCUCCCCCACUGCAGCCCUGCUAUAGCUUUUAUCACCGAGUUGGGGUGAGGGCCGGGUCACAGCUUCACCAGGCCUGGGCUCCCACCUGGGCGGGCCCGGCCUGGCAGAGUCUGUGCUCCUGGCACGGGGCCUCACUCCCCAGGCCCCAGGACAGCUCCAGGGGCCUGGGCAGGCUGGAGAAGGAAGGGGAGCCCCCACACUGUAUUCCAAAUAAAGGGAAGCCCGGGGGGGUGCUGCUGUCUCUCCUGAGCCCUCGCCCUGGGGUGGUGAAGGUCCAGACUGGGAAACGAAAGUCAUUACUAUGUCAGAAAGGGCAAAAAGCAAAACGAGGAAGGGGAAGCACGAGGAGGAAGGAGCUGUGGCAGCUCCAGAGCCCAGGAGUGCAGCCCCCAGAGGCCAGGGCUACCCCUCUACCCUCUGGGGCUGUGCAAGAGGGGGCCCUUCUACCGUCUCGGGCUGUGCAGGAGGGGGCCCCUCUAUCUUCUGGAGCUGUGCAGGAGGGGGCCCCUCCACUGUCUCAGGCUGUGCAGGAGGGGGCCCCUCUGCCGUCUCAGGCUGUGCAGGAGGGGGCCCCUCUAUCUUCUGGGGCUGUGCAGGAGGGGGCCCCUCCACUGUCUCAGGCUGUGCAGGAGGGGGCCCCUCUGCCGUCUGGGGCUGUGCAAGCAGUGAGCAAGCUGCCGCCUCCUUGGGAGCUGGGAUCCCAGACGGGAUUCAGCCAUUUUCAGAGACGUUCCCAGAAACGAGAAUGCGAGAUCAAUUCCUCGCCUGGCAUCUCCCACCAGCGCCAUCGCUGCAGGAACCUCACUGGAAGCCAGCGGGCAGAGGAGAGUGGGAAAGGAGCUUGCAGCCUCCCAGCGCCAGUGAUGCAGAGCAGAAGGUGGCUGGGAGGCUGAGAAACUGUAAGAAAAUAGCAGGGCCAGCCCAUGUGGCCGCUCAGAUACAUGCUAUGUGUGUGUUUGCAUAUGUAGGGGCUGAAAAACUCCACCUCCAUCCUUUUGAGGUCCUGGCUGGGCCCAAGAGUUAAAUCAAGGUAAGACAGAUCAUCAUGCCAGUGUAUUUGAUUCAAGUUGGAUGUGGCUCGGGAGCCCUGCUAAGGAAAUGAAGACCCGGUGAAGCAGACUCAGUCACUCGUGUGCUGAGCUGGACAGAGAACAGUGAGGUUUGAGGAAGGAGCUAGAUGAUGUGGGGGGCUGAAAAGGUGAGAGGCAUUUUAUCAAGGACUGUACAGCAUUUGCUAGGUCUCAGCUUCUCAUCCUUGAGGAUCAGAGCUUUCUAGUGUAGGGAGAGCAUCUUUCACCUGGGAAUUUCAUCUGCUUUUAAGAAACCCAAGAGAGAUCAGAAUGAUCUUUUUGCACCUGUUAUUGUUUUAACUGCCUUUAAUUCCUAAUAGUGACUAUGCCAGAGCAGCCUAUUUUGGGGUGGCACCUUCUUAACUCUGCAUACUGUACAUAUCUGGCACACAUCAUUUAAAGUAAAUAGAUAGGCUGGCUUACUUUUUACUCAGGUGCAACAUAAUUCAGAAAAGUGCAGACAUGCUCAGUAGACAGCUCUUUCUACACGCCUAUUGACUUUCUUUCAUCAAUGACAUAUUGGUCGGCUCUUGCUAGGCUGUGUUGCCAAAACAACUCGCAAGCCUGGGUCGAUCACAGCAACCAAGUUUCCCCUCCCACUCAGGUUUCUUGUCGGCCACGGGGUGGCUCAGCUUCUGACUGCCUCCUUCGUUCUGGGGUCCAGGCUGAGCAAGCUGUGGCUCUCUGGAACAUGCUAUUCUCCUUACCAAGGGAGGACACGGAGGAGAGAUGGAGAAACCAUGCCACACUCUCUCAGUGGCCAUACACAGCUGGGAUGUGUCGCUUGCACUCCCAUGCCACUGGCCAGAGCAAGUCAUGUGGCCAAGGAGGGGCUGGGAAGAGCACGUCCUCCUCCAGGUGGUGCCAGCUCUGGGACUGGGUUUUAGCUUUCCUUAGAAAGGAAGAACUGGCCCGUUACUGCAGCAGGGAUGCUGACAGAAGACAUGAAACUCCGGGGUCAGAGACAAAGGACUUUGUCAUUCAUGGCAUGGCAGGCAGGUGCUCACCUGUGUGUUUAGUCUUAUCCCCUUGCCCCCAGAUUCCACGGGUGCCAUGUGGGUGAGCCUGGGUGGGCACUGCACAGUGGGUUUGCAUGGCCACUGAGGAGCCCUGCACUGGGGGAGUCGGCUGUUUCUGCAGCAAGCAGUGAGCAAGCUGCUCUUUGUCCCUAGAGGACUCUCAGGGCAAACCACCCUGAGAAAUGGGGGAGGGUACUCAGGGCCUGCAUUCCUGGCACACCCUGUGAGAGGUAGGGGGCAGGAGACACUCGUGGAGGACUGCCCUCUUAACAGGAGAAGCUGCCAGUACCAGAGGCCAAAGGGACUUACCCAGAGAUUUCGCCGGCAUCCCUGGGCUGCCUGGUGCCACAUAUGUGAAAACAGUCAUUUCACAUACAAAAAUUAGCUGGAUGUGGUGGUGGGCGCCUGUAAUCCCAGCUACUCCGGAGGCUGAGGCAGGAGAAUCACUUGAACUCAGGAGGAAGAGGUUGCAGUGAGCCAAGAUCAUGCCACUGCCUUCCAACCUAGGACCCAAGCAAAACGGAGCUGGGAGGCCUCAACGGAAGGUCCCUCAUGCUCGGGUGCCUACGAUGAGAACUGUUACAGGGACUCCGAUAGCACAGAACAUUCCAGAUCAGCUGCUCCUAUGAAGACGUCUCCCCCGCAACAAUCAUGUUACCCAUGAGUAAUCACCAACCCUGCAUUAAGCUCCUGUACCCAGUGAGGUUUAUUCCACAACAAUCUGUGUAGACUUCCUCUUCUCACCCCUAAAAGAAAGACACACCUGCGGUCCCCCUCAGCGUGCAUAUCCCAGAUUGCAAUCCCCUGCCAUCCCCCAGUAAACUUUGUUUGGGAGAGCC